rnacentral:rRNA from 1 species
CCUGGCUCAGGACGAACGCUGGCGGCGUGCCUAAUACAUGCAAGUAGAACGCUGAAGCGAGGAGCUUGCUCUUCUUGGAUGAGUUGCGAACGGGUGAGUAACGCGUAGGUAACCUGCCUGGUAGCGGGGGAUAACUAUUGGAAACGAUAGAUAAUACCGCAUAAAAUGGAUUAUCGCAUGAUAAUUCAUUGAAAGGUGCAAAGGCAUCACUACCAGAUGGACCUGCGUUGUAUUAGCUAGUUGGUGAGGUAACGGCUCACCAAGGCGUCGAUACAUAGCCGACCUGAGAGGGUGAUCUGCCACACUGGGACUGAGACACGGCCCAGACUCCUACGG